rnacentral:lncRNA from 1 species
GUACCUAACAAAUGUUAUUCAUGUUCUCCUCAACUUUCACUAUAUAUAUACGCAUAUUGAUAUUAGCAUGAUUAUGCGAGACUUACUUUAAAAGUUUCGUAACUUUAUCCAUUUCUAAAACUCAAAUUCUCAAGUUUUGAUUGAAAUCGACUAUAAGGAUCACCGUACAACCUUCAAAAAUAAUGAUCAAACUCAUGCAGCAUAUACAGUAAGCUAUAUAUAUAAGAUCCAAGAAUGACAAACUGUGAAACAAUUCAAAGAAGUAGGCCAACAGCAUAAUUUAUGCUAAAAUCCCUAGUCCUGUUUGUAUAAAACUGGUGGUGAACUGACAGUAGGUUCAUUCCCCUCCCCCCUCUUCAUCAAAAAAAAAAAAAAAAACCCUCAUCAGUGAUUAAUUCCAAAAUAUCUGUUUCAGAAAAGACGUAUAAAAAAUAUUUGCUUAGGUAAAAGUUAGUAUAAAACAAAACAAAAAAAACGAAUGACGACUGUACUUUGACACUAUUAAUUCAUAGCAACCCAAAUUGAUAAAGAUAAAAUAGAUUACAAACAUCUCCUAAUAGAGAUUUGUUUUUGCAACAACAGAACCUGUUGCUAAAAAUACAAAACAUAAAAAAAAACCCAAACCACACCAAAACAACAUGCAAUAUAUAUACAUAUGUAUAUAUACAUAUGUAUAUCUAUGGGUAAAUUAAUAACUGUACAAUGUGGACCUCUUUUUGUUACAUUUCUAUGCAUUUUUGAAAAUUCCAAACUAAUGACCUCACUUCUCUAAGAAACCUAAACCAA